AACAACCAAUUAAAUGUAACCACAUCAAUAAAGUUAGUCAUGUCAGUUGAAGCAUUAAUAGUCUUAGUUAAUAUCAGAAAUUUCUUGACUCUAGUUAAUAUGGGUUAUUAAAAAAGCCCCCACUUAUCUACUCACUCUCUCUCCCCUUGUCUUUCUGUACACACACACAUCCAUUUUCUCCUCUCUAUUACUCCAUGAACAACUCUACUGUACCAUGUGAAAUACAAACUAAAUUGAAAUAUCGAAGAGCCUGUUCUCCUCCUCCUCUCAUAGACCUACCAUCUCGCCAAAAAAAAUUUAUCAUUUUUCCUCUUUGAUCCAAUUGAACAUCCCAAUAAAACAUUCCACCUGCUUCAUUGGUUUUUCACUUAAAAUAAUUAACCAAACUUUGUGAAUCUCUUACCUCAAUCGAUUGCAUUUUUAUGUAUAAAUAUAAUUGUAAGCAUCAUUUUCUAUAAAUUUCAAAUUUUCAACACCACCGCAUUCCUCAACCAUAUAAGAAUAUGCAUUUAUUGUUGGUAUUCCAACGCUAGCCAUUGAAUUUAAUACAUGGGCCUUACCUAAAGAAAUUGAUCGUACUGAUCUUAAAAGAUG
rnacentral:lncRNA from 1 species